UACGUAGGGCGCAAGCGUUUGUCCGGAAUUAUUGGGCGUAAAGAGCUCGUAGGCGGCUUGUCACGUCGGGUGUGAAAGCCCGGGGCUUAACCCCGGGUCUGCAUUCGAUACGGGCUAGCUAGAGUGUGGUAGGGGAGAUCGGAAUUCCUGGUGUAGCGGUGAAAUGCGCAGAUAUCAGGAGGAACACCGGUGGCGAAGGCGGAUCUCUGGACAGUUCCUGACGCUGAGGCACGAAGGCCAGGGGAGCAAACGGG
rnacentral:rRNA from 1 species